rnacentral:miRNA from 1 species
GCUGAUACUGAAAAGCUGAAC